rnacentral:lncRNA from 1 species
GCUGGACCAGGUGUGGUUUCCAGGGAGAAGGGAGGUUCAUAGGCUGGUGUUUGGCAUAUAGCAGAUGCUCUGUAAAUAUUUGCUAACAUUUAAUGAAGAGAGCACUGCCCACCUCUUAGAGAGUGUCAAAGAGAUGGCAGCAGCACUGAUGAGAAGGUGAAAGGGAACUCCUGGAUGUUUCCAAAACCUAACCUAUGCAGCAUCUGCUAAUGGAAAAUCCAUUUGCUCACCAAGGAGGCUUUAGAAGAAGACCUUCUCCAAAAAGUGCACCCUGACUCAGGCCAGGAAACGCCAAGAGUCUGAAUAAGAAGAGCAGGCUCCUCAGGUCCCCCAAUGCCAUCCUGGGAAAAGCCUCCUGGGCCCUCUCUUGGAAGACAAAGUCCUGUAACCAUUCACCGUGGUGAAGGAAAGCCAUCUCUCUCCCUGUGUCUCAACAGGGGCUGAAGGCACACAUAGCUGAGCCCACUUCACACUCCCUCCCCACCAGCCAUGAAGAUGAUGCCUGGCAAUGAAGUUUGAGAUCCAGUUCCAAUUUUGGAAUCAUUUUCUCCUCAUAGGUAUUGACAAUUUUUAUACAUUUCCAAGACCCAUUGAAGAUAAUCCUCAGGGGUACAUAUGGUACAGGAGGAUAGGAAACAGCUUGGAAGACAACAGAAAGGAAUAUGUAUCCACAAGAAGAGCCUUUUCCAGUUCGUUUGCAAAAAAGUACUCCUGUUCUGCCCUGCUGGGCCUGGGGUGGCAGCUCUUAGAAUCGGUUUCUAACCUUGCUUGGACCAUCAUCUUUUUGGUAGUCUGAUGAAGUCUCAGGAUCCCUUCUCAUCAUAAAUAUUUUAUACUAAUAAAGUAGAAUACAGGGUAUUACACAGGAAACUAAUAAUAUUGAAAAUACAAUUAUUAGAAUAUUUUAAAACAAACUUUGAUUUAGAAGUUAAUGCACUGCUUUAUUAAUUCUUUACAUAACACAAUGUAUCAGAGGGUCUUAUAAGUACUGUAAUUUUGAAGUAGUGGUGAGUGGGAUAAUGUAUCACAAUAUCUGCAGUGGUUGGAAACUGAUCUAAAAAUGUUUAUGAUUUCCAUUUUCCCAGGCACUGUUAAUACUAUUAUAGUUUGCUGCACAUAUUCAUAACUGAAAGAAAUGCUAAAUUGCAAAGGAGGCUAAUGAAAAUAAAGAAAUCAUUUUUUCUUUCACAAUUCAAGCUCACAGACAGAUGCCCAGCAUUCUCCCCAGCCCAUGGUAUGCAGGAUACGCACCCUGUCUAGAGCUUUGAAAAUUAGUAGCAGGUAGAGGAGCUGGUCUCCUCUGCUGAGUGUACCUGAGCCACAGUAGUGCUGGCUUCAGCUGGGAAGUGCCCAUCUGGAGCCCAGUGGUUUAGGCCAGCAAAUCAUAUUCUUAUUUGCAAGUGGUCCUCCCUUCCCUCACACCUAGUCAUUGUAGGCAAUGAAGGCUCCAACAGGGUGCCUGGGAUAGAGUAAGAGCAAACUAGCUCAGUGACCUUUGGGCAAAGUCUGUCUCUGUUCUGUAGAAAUGUAAAGGCAUGGGGGUUCUGGUCCUCUAUCUCCAGUGAGAGUUGAGUCUUAUGAGCCCUGGAGAUCUCUCCAAGUGUCAUAAAAUUGAAUUAUCUCAUUUCUAGGCAUGGAGUAUGGUCACCCCACACUCAUGAAUUAUCUGAUACCCAUGGGUCACCCUAAUGAUACUGCAUAGAGACAGAGCUAAAGCAAAAGACGAGGGAGACAUCACUGCAAAGGUGGGAAUUGUAGCCUUAGAAGGGAAUAAGUUCACCUGGGGAAAUGAGAAGGUGCAUCAUGAGCCAGACCCGAAAUGACUUGAUCACAGAGAGGACAGGCUUCAGUGAGGGCUGGUCAGGCCAAAGGGUCAAAUGUCUACUUGAAUUCUUUGCUCUCAGUAUGUGGGAAGCAGCCUGCCUUUUCUCCCCCUCCUCUGAGGACCUGAGGGAAAAGCAUGGGAGACCUGUUGACGCUUUGGGAACAGUCUAGGAAUGUCCCCAAGAUGAGCUUCUGCCUGCAUUGACACCUCCCAUUCCACAGGACCUAGACCUAGGGCCCUUCUUCCAUGUCCUUACUGCCAUGGGUAAGGACACUCCUGCAUGGAAGAAUCCCUGUGCAGUUCAUGUCUGAAUUCUCUGCAGGGAUUCAAUGUCUAGAAGCUCAAGCACAUCUUCCCAGCAGUGGUUUUUCUGCAUCCAGGCCCCUCUGAUCACAUUGUAGGCAACCUGAAGUGGCCUCUACCCUGACAAUGCUUCUGUCUUUGAGAUAAUUCUUUUCUUCACACCUCCAGAAACUACGGUUAAGUGUCUGCUCUUACUGUCAGAAGAGACCUCAUGAUCACUGUAUGUCACGGGAGGUGCAAAAUUGUGCCUAAUCCUCAAAGCAGUGGUGUGGAUGCACGAAACAGGCCCCAGUGUAAGCUGUGUGUACACAGUGUAAGUGAUGGCUUCACUUUGAGUUAAACCUAAUACAAACUGUAAUUGGAAAGUAUAAAUGGAUUACCCUGGUCUUAUUCAAAUGUGCCACCACCCAAUAACAGCAAGGACAGUCCCCUUGGAGAAAACACAUUUUGUUUCUACUGAUUUCAAGAAAUCUCUGACUAGGGAGAGUUUCUAAUUCAUGAGAUAGAUUUUCAAGUGUGACUAAGAGACUUAAUCUCUAUUAAGUUGCCCUAAAAAGGAAAAGAAGCUAUACAUUUAAGUUGUGAUUAUGAAAUAACAUACAAUCUGAC